UGAACUUUUUGGCCAACCCAGU
rnacentral:miRNA from 1 species